rnacentral:rRNA from 1 species
GACAGAGGGUGCAAACGUUGUUCGGAAUUACUGGGCGUAAAGCGCGUGUAGGCGGCCCUGCAAGUCGGAUGUGAAAUCCCACGGCUCAACCCGUGGAAGUGCAUUCGAAACUGCAGGGCUAGAGUCCUGGAGAGGAAGGUGGAAUGCUUGGUGUAGAGGUGAAAUUCGUAGAUAUCAAGCGGAACACCGGUGGCGAAGGCGGCCUUCUGGACAGUGACUGACGCUGAGGUGCGAAAGCGUGGGGAGCAAACAGGG